rnacentral:rRNA from 1 species
UGAGCGGUUUUGGGGGAUUAUUUCCAGGGCGGGGGGGCAGCCUAUUUUUUUCGACGGAACGUGGAAACCUUUUCCAGGUGGUUACUUCUUUUGGCAACCUUAGAGAUAGGGCUUCCCCUUCGGGGGCAGAGUGACAGGUGGCGCAUGGUUGUUGUCAUAUCAAAACCUGAGAUGUUGGGUUAGGUCCCGCAACGAGCGCAACCCUUGAUUUUAGUUGCCAGCAUUCAGUGGGGCACUUUAAGGUGACUGCCGGGGACAAACCGGAGGAAGGUGGGGAUGACGUCAAAUCAUCAUGCCCCUUAUGACCUGGGCUACACACGUGCUACAAUGGGCAGAACAAAGGGCAGCGAAGCCGCGAGGCUAAGCCAAUCCCACAAAUCUGUUCUCAGUUCGGAUCGCAGUCUGCAACUCGACUGCGUGAAGCUGGAAUCGCUAGUAAUCGCGGAUCAGCAUGCCGCGGUGAAUACGUUCCCGGGCCUUGUACACACCGCCCGUCACACCACGAGAGUUUGUAACACCCGAAGUCGGUGAGGUA